AUGCCAUCACUUUGGCAGCACAUGUACUGUUACUGGAACGAUGCAGAGAAGAUUAGUGUGGCCCCUACAUGAGGAUGAAAUCUUCUUCUUCUUCUUUUUUUAAAAUUUAU
rnacentral:snRNA from 1 species